rnacentral:rRNA from 1 species
GAUGAACGCUGGCGGCGUGCCUAAUACAUGCAAGUCGAGCGAACAGAUAAGGAGCUUGCUCCUUUGACGUUAGCGGCGGACGGGUGAGUAACACGUGGGUAACCUACCUAUAAGACUGGAAUAACUCCGGGAAACCGGAGCUAAUGCCGGAUAACAUUUAGAACCGCAUGGUUCUAAAGUAAAAGAUGGUUUUGCUAUCACUUAUAGAUGGACCCGCGCCGUAUUAGCUAGUUGGUAAGGUAAUGGCUUACCAAGGCAACGAUACGUAGCCGACCUGAGAGGGUGAUCGGCCACACUGGAACUGAGACACGGUCCAGACUCCUACGGGAGGCAGCAGUAGGGAAUCUUCCGCAAUGGGCGAAAGCCUGACGGAGCAACGCCGCGUGAGUGAUGAAGGGUUUCGGCUCGUAAAACUCUGUUAUUAGGGAAGAACAAACGUGUAAGUAACUGUGCACGUCUUGACGGUACCUAAUCAGAAAGCCACGGCUAACUACGUGCCAGCCGCCGCCGUAA